rnacentral:rRNA from 1 species
GACGAACGCUGGCGGCGUGCUUAACACAUGCAAGUCGAGCGGAAAGGCCCUUCGGGGUACUCGAGCGGCGAACGGGUGAGUAACACGUGAGCAACCUGCCCCAGGCUUUGGGAUAACCCCGGGAAACCGGGGCUAAUACCGAAUAUGACCUCUGACCGCAUGGUUGGUGGUGGAAAGUUUUUCGGCUUGGGAUGGGCUCGCGGCCUAUCAGCUUGUUGGUGGGGUGAUGGCCUACCAAGGCGACGACGGGUAGCCGGCCUGAGAGGGCGACCGGCCACACUGGGACUGAGACACGGCCCAGACUCCUACGGGAGGCAGCAGUGGGGAAUAUUGCACAAUGGGCGGAAGCCUGAUGCAGCGACGCCGCGUGAGGGAUGACGGCCUUCGGGUUGUAAACCUCUUUCAGCAGGGACGAAGCGUAAGUGACGGUACCUGCAGAAGAAGCGCCGGCCAACUACGUGCCAGCAGCCGCAGUAAGAC